rnacentral:rRNA from 1 species
CGCGUAGGCGGGCUUUCAAGUCGGUUGUGAAAUCCCUCAGCUCAACUGAGGAACUGCAUCCGAUACUGUUUGUCUUGAGGACGAGAGGGGAGAGUGGAACUUCUGGUGGAGCGGUGAAAUGCGUAGAUAUCAGAAGGAACGCCGGUGGCGAAAGCGACUCUCUGGCUCGUAUCUGACGCUGAGGCGCGAAAGCUUGGGUAGCAAACG